rnacentral:rRNA from 1 species
GAUGAACGCUGGCGGCGUGCCUAACACAUGCAAGUCGAACGGACAGGCCCUGCGUUUGUGGGGUGCUCGAUUGGCGAACGGGUGAGUAACACACGUGUAACCCCCCCUUGACAUUGGGGUAACUUCAGGGAACUGGGGCUCUUACCGGAGAGGAGCUCCUGCAGCAUGGUGGGGGUUGGAAAGUGUCGGGGGUUGUGGCUGGACUCGCGGCGUAUCAGCUUGUUUGGGGGGUAGUGGCUUACCAAGGCUUUGAAGGGUAGCCGGCCUGAGAGGCUGACCGGCGACAUAGAGACUGAGAUACGGCACAGACUCCUACGGGAGGCAGCAGUGGGGAAUAUUGCACGAGGGGCGGAGGGCUGGUGCAGCAACGCCGCGUGCGGGAUAACGGCCUUCGGGUUGUAAACCGCUUUCGCCUGUGACGAAGCGUGAGUGACGGUAAUGUGUAAAGAAGCACCGGCUAACUACGUG